GGUCAUAGUGAUCCGGUGGUUCUGAAUGGAAGGGCCAUCGCUCAACGGAUAAAAGGUACUCCGGGGAUAACAGGCUGAUACCGCCCAAGAGUUCAUAUCGACGGCGGUGUUUGGCACCUCGAUGUCGGCUCAUCACAUCCUGGGGCUGAAGUAGGUCCCAAGGGUAUGGCUGUUCGCCAUUUAAAGUGGUACGCGAGCUGGGUUUAGAACGUCGUGAGACAGUUCGGUCCCUAUCUGCCGUGGGCGCUGGAGAACUGAGGGGGGCUGCUCCUAGUACGAGAGGACCGGAGUGGACGCAUCACUGGUGUUCGGGUUGUCAUGCCAAUGGCACUGCCCGGUAGCUAAAUGCGGAAGAGAUAAGUGCUGAAAGCAUCUAAGCACGAAACUUGCCCCGAGAUGAGUUCUCCCUGACUCCUUGAGAGUCCUGAAGGAACGUUGAAGACGACGACGUUGAUAGGCCGGGUGUGUAAGCGCAGCGAUGCGUUGAGCUAACCGGUACUAAUGAACCGUGAGGCUUAACCUUACAAC
rnacentral:rRNA from 1 species